rnacentral:rRNA from 1 species
UUAUGGCUCAGGAUGAACGCUAGCGAUAGGCCUAACACAUGCAAGUCGAGGGGCAGCACAUGAAGUAGCAAUACAGAUGGUCGGCGACCGGCGCACGGGUGAGUAACACGUAUGCAACCUACCUUCCACAGGAGAAUAGCCCGUUGAAAAACGGACUAAUACUCCAUAAUACAGGGGUCCCGCAUGGGAAUAUUUGUUAAAGAUUUUUCUCGGUAGAAGAUGGGCAUGCGUUCCAUCAGCUAGUUGGUGAGGUAACGGCUCACCAAGGCAACGAUGGAUAGGGGAACUGAGAGGUUUAUCCCCCCACACUGGUACUGAGACACGGACCAGACUCCUACGGGAGGCAGCAGUGAGGAAUAUUGGUCAAUGGAGGCAACUCUGAACCAGCCACGUCGCGUGAAGGAUGACGGCCCUACGGGUUGUAAACUUCUUUUAUACAGGAAUAAAGUGAGUCACGUGUGACUUUUUGCAUGUACUGUAUGAAUAAGGAUCGGCUAACUCCGUGCCAGCCGCCGC